AUUGAACGCUGGCGGCAUGCCUUACACAUGCAAGUCGAACGGCAGCACGGGAGCAAUCCUGGUGGCGAGUGGCGAACGGGUGAGUAAUACAUCGGAACGUGUCCAGUUGUGGGGGAUAGCCCGGCGAAAGACCGGAUUAAUACCGCAUACGACCUACGGGUGAAAGCGGGGGAGUCGCAAGACCUCGCGCUAUUGGAGCGGCCGAUGUCAGAUUAGCUUGUUGGUGGGGAAAAGCCUACCAAGGCGACGAUCUGUAGCUGGUCUGAGAGGACGGACCAGCCACACUGGGACUGAGACACGGCCCAGACUCCUACGGGAGGCAGCAGUGGGGAAUUUUGGACAAUGGGCGCAAGCCUGAUCCAGCCAUGCCGCGUGCGGGAAGAAGGCCU
rnacentral:rRNA from 1 species